AGCAUCAAUGAGGGUGAGAAUCCCGUUUGUCAUCUGCAGUCCCCCGUGCACGGUGUAUCUUCUAAGAGUCGCGUUCCUCGGGAUUGGAGCGUAAAGUGGGUGGUAAAUUUCAUCUAAGGCUAAAUAUGGGUUCGAGACCGAUAGCAAACAAGUACCAUGAGGGAAAGAUGAAAAGGACUUUGAAAAGAGAGUUAAAAGUGCCUGAAAUUGCUGAAAGGGAAGCGAAUGGAACCAGUGCUCUUGGCGAGAUUGUUGUGCGCUAUGGUGAUUGCUGGCUGCUUCAGCGCAAGCGGGGUAGUUGGUACUGAGCCUGCCGCGCGCAGUGUUUCUUACCUUGUGCGUCACCGUCGGUUCACAGGCGAGGAUACUUCUGAGGACAUGGUAACUCUUCCACGGAGGUGUGAAUGUCUUUGGUAAUACUCGUUUGUAGACCGCUCACCUUCGGGUUACGAUGACUAAAUGGUUCUAUUCGACCCGUCUUGAAACACGGGAACCAAGGA
rnacentral:sRNA from 1 species